GAAUUAUGGGGGCAGGUCUUUCCUGUGCUGUUCUCGGGAUAGUGAAAAAGUCUCACAAGAUCUGAUGGUUUUAAAAAGGUGAGUUUCCCUGCAUAAUCUCUCUUCUCCUGUCUGGUUCCAUGUGAGAUGUGCCUUUUGCCUUCCGCCAUGAUUGUGAGGCCUCCCCAGCCAUGUGGAACCGCCCAUAGGUGGAAGGGACUUGCCUUGUCUCAGAUGAGACUUUGGACUUCGGACUGUGGACUUUUGAGUUAACACUGAAAUGAAUUAAUGCUGAAAUGAAUUAAGACUUUGGGAGACGGUUGAGAAGCCAUGACUCAUUUUAAAAUGUGAGACAUGCCUUUCACCUUCUGCCAUGAUUGUGAGGCCUCUCCAGCCAUGUGGAACUUGAGAAGGAAAGAGUAUCAGUGCAUAUUGUCAAGUGAAGAAAGCAAGCUCCAGAACAAAGCCUAUG
rnacentral:lncRNA from 1 species